AAAAAGACAAACCCUGAGUUUUCGUGUACAACUCUGACUAUCCGUCUUAUAUGAAUUUUUUUUAUAAUUCGUAUUUUCAUUGUUGUUAGAUAAUAAAACAUGAUUAAUGUUUUAUGCGUGACUUCUCUUUUUAAUUUUUUCAAAUAAGAUGGACGGUCAAACGUUGAACACGGAAACCAGGGUUUGUCUUUUU
rfam:Oryza rufipogon genomic scaffold, chr04